rnacentral:rRNA from 1 species
CCCUCUGUAGUUUUAUGGUCUGGGGGACCCUGUCCUCCUUCUGUAGCUCUACGUUUUUACACACACGCUGUAACAAUGUCUUGUGGAAUGCUUUCUGCGUUUAACGCAAUACAAUACAACUUUCAGCAACGGAUCUCUUGGCUCUCGCAUCGAUGAAGAACGCAGCGAAAUGCGAUAAGUAAUGUGAAUUGCAGAAUUCAGUGAAUCAUCGAAUCUUUGAACGCACCUUGCGCCCCUCGGCUAUUCCUUGGGGCAUGCCUGUUUGAGUAUCAUGAACACCUCAACUCUCAUGGUUUGCCCAUGAAGAGCUUGGACUCUGGGGGUUUGCUGGCCAUUUCAGUCGGCUCCUCUCAAAUGAAUUAGCUUGCCAGUGUUUGGUGGCGCUACGGGUGUGAUAACUAUCUACGCUCGCUGUCGUCUGCCAGGUAACCUUCAUCACUGAAGGUUCGCUGGAGCUCACAAACGUCUCUCCUUAGCGAAGACAGCUUUUGAACGUUCGAUCUCAAAUCAGGUAGGACUACCCGCUGAACUUA